rnacentral:rRNA from 1 species
GACGAACGCUGGCGGCGUGCCUAAUACAUGCAAGUUGAGCGCUGAAGGUUGGUACUUGUACCAACUGGAUGAGCAGCGAACGGGUGAGUAACGCGUGGGGAAUCUGCCUUUGAGCGGGGGACAACAUUUGGAAACGAAUGCUAAUACCGCAUAAAAACUUUAAACACAAGUUUUAAGUUUGAAAGAUGCAAUUGCAUCACUCAAAGAUGAUCCCGCGUUGUAUUAGCUAGUUGGUGAGGUAAAGGCUCACCAAGGCGAUGAUACAUAGCCGACCUGAGAGGGUGAGCGGCCACAUUGGGACUGAGACACGGCACAAACUCCUACGGGAGGCAGCAGUAGUGAAUCUUCGGCCAUGGACGAAAGUCUGACCGAGCAACGCCGCGUGAGUGAAGAAGGUUGUCGGAUCGUAAAACUCUGUUGGUAGAGAAGAACGUUGGUGAGAGUGGAAAGCUCAUCAAGUGACGGUAACUACCCAGAAAGGGACGGCUAACUACGUG